rnacentral:rRNA from 2 species
GGGUUGUGAGGUUAAGCGACUAAGCGUACACGGUGGAUGCCCUGGCAGUCAGAGGCGAUGAAGGACGUGCUAAUCUGCGAUAAGCGUCGGUAAGGUGAUAUGAACCGUUAUAACCGGCGAUUUCCGAAUGGGGAAACCCAGUGUGAUUCGUCACACUAUCAUUAACUGAAUCCAUAGGUUAAUGAGGCGAACCGGGGGAACUGAAACAUCUAAGUACCCCGAGGAAAAGAAAU